rnacentral:rRNA from 1 species
GAUGAACGCUGGCGGCGUGCCUAAUACAUGCAAGUCGAGCGAACAGACGAGGAGCUUGCUCCUCUGACGUUAGCGGCGGACGGGUGAGUAACACGUGGAUAACCUACCUAUAAGACUGGGAUAACUUCGGGAAACCGGAGCUAAUACCGGAUAAUAUAUUGAACCGCAUGGUUCAAUAGUGAAAGACGGUUUUGCUGUCACGUAUAGAUGGAUCCGCGCCGCAUUAGCUAGUUGGUAAGGUAACGGCUUACCAAGGCGACGAUGCGUAGCCGACCUGAGAGGGUGAUCGGCCACACUGGAACUGAGACACGGUCCAGACUCCUACGGGAGGAAGCAGUAGGGAAUCUUCCGCAAUGGGCGAAAGCCUGACGGAGCAACGCCGCGUGAGUGAUGAAGGUCUUCGGAUCGUAAAACUCUGUUAUUAGGGAAGAACAAAUGUGUAAGUAACUAUGCACGUCUUGACGGUACCUAAUCAGAAAGCCACGGCUAACUACGUG